UUUUGUAUAAUGGGUCAGCGACUUAUAUUCUGUAGCAAGGUUAACCGUAUAGGGGAGCCGGAGGGAAACCGAGUCUUAAUUGGGCGUUAAGUUGCAGGGUAUAGACCCGAAACCCGGUGAUCUAGCCAUGGGCAGGUUGAAGGUUGGGUAACACUAACUGGAGGACCGAACCGACUAAUGUUGAAAAAUUAGCGGAUGACCUGUGGCUGGGGGUGAAAGGCCAAUCAAACCGGGAGAUAGCUGGUUCUCCCCGAAAGCUAUUUAGGUAGCGCCUCGUGAAUUCAUCUCCGGGGGUAGAGCACUGUUUCGGCUAGGGGGCCAUCCCGGCUUACCAACCCGAUGCAAACUGCGAAUACCGGAGAAUGUUAUCACGGGAGACACACGGCGGGUGCUAACGUCCGUCGUGAAGAGGGAAACAACCCAGACCGCCAGCUAAGGUCCCAAAGUCAUGGUUAAGUGGGAAACGAUGUGGGAAGGCCCAGACAGCCAGGAUGUUGGCUUAGAAGCAGCCAUCAUUUAAAGAAAGCGUAAUAGCUCACUGGUCGAGUCGGCCUGCGCGGAAGAUGUAACGGGGCUAAACCAUGCACCGAAGCUGCGGCAGCGA
rnacentral:rRNA from 1 species